rnacentral:rRNA from 1 species
CCUACGGGAGGCAGCAGUGAGGAAUAUUGGUCAAUGGACGAGAGUCUGAACCAGCCAAGUAGCGUGAAGGAUGACUGCCCUAUGGGUUGUAAACUUCUUUUAUAUGGGAAUAAAAUGUUCCACGUGUGGGAUUUUGUAUGUACCAUAUGAAUAAGGAUCGGCUAACUCCGUGCCAGCAGCCGCGGUAAUACGGAGGAUCCGAGCGUUAUCCGGAUUUAUUGGGUUUAAAGGGGGCGUAGGGGGAUUGUUAAGUUAGUUGUGAAAGUUUGCGGCUCAACCGUAAAAUUGCAGUUGAAACUGGCAGUCUUGAGUACAGUAGAGGUGGGCGGAAUGCGUGGUGUAGCGGUGAAAUGCUUAGAUAUCACGAAGAACUCCGAUUGCGAAGGCAGUUCACUGGACUGCAACUGACACUGAGGUUCGAAAGUGUGGGUAUCAAACAGGAUUAGAUACCCUAGUAGUC